rnacentral:rRNA from 1 species
GUGUAGCGGUGAAAUGCGUAGAUAUUAGGAGGAACACCAGUGGCGAAGGCGGCUUACUGGACUGUAACUGACGUUGAGGCGCGAAAGUGUGGGGAGCAAACAGGAUUAGAUACCCUGGUAGUCCACACCGUAAACGAUGAUUACUAGGUGUGGGGGGACUGACCCCUUCCGUGCCGGAGUUAACACAAUAAGUAAUCCACCUGGGGAGUACGGCCGCAAGGUUGAAACUCAAAGGAAUUGACGGGGGCCCGCACAAGCAGUGGAGUAUGUGGUUUAAUUCGACGCAACGCGAAGAACCUUACCAAGACUUGACAUAUACAUGAAAGCCUAAGAGAUUAGGCCCCUCUUCGGAGCGUGUAUACAGGUGAUGCAUGGUUGUCGUCAGCUCGUGUCGUGAGAUGUUAGGUUAAGUCCUGCAACGAGCGCAACCCUCGUGAUUAGUUGCCAGAUAAUGGAACUCUAAUCAGACUGCCGUAGUUAAUACGGAGGAAGGUGAGGAUGAUGUCAAAUCAUCACGUCCCUUAUGUCUUGGGCUACACACGUACUACAAUGGGUGUUACAGAAAGAAGCGAAACCGCGAGGUGGAGCAAAACUCAGAAAAGCACCCCUAGUUCGGAUUGGAGGCUGCAACCCGCCUCCAUGAAGCUGGAAUUGCUAGUAAUCACAGGUCAGCAUACUGUGGUGAAUACGUUCCCGGGCCUUGUACACACCGCCCGUCACACCAUGAGAGUUGAGAAUACCCGAAGCCCAUGUAACAGUGGUCGAAGGUAGGCUUGAUGAUUGGGGUGAAGUCGUAACAAGGUAGCCGUAUCGGAAGGUGCGGCUG